rnacentral:rRNA from 1 species
UACGAAGGGGGCUAGCGUUGCUCGGAAUCACUGGGCGUAAAGCGCACGUAGGCGGCUUUUUAAGUCAGAGGUGAAAUCCUGGAGCUCAACUCCAGAACUGCCUUUGAUACUGAGGAUCUUGAGUUCGGGAGAGGUGAGUGGAACUGCGAGUGUAGAGGUGAAAUUCGUAGAUAUUCGCAAGAACACCAGUGGCGAAGGCGGCUCACUGGCCCGAUACUGACGCUGAGGCACGAAAGCGUGGGGAGCAAACAGGG